rnacentral:rRNA from 1 species
AACGAACGCUGGCGGCAUGCCUAACACAUGCAAGUCGAACGAAGUCUUCGGACUUAGUGGCGCACGGGUGCGUAACGCGUGGGAAUCUGCCCUUGGGUACGGAAUAACUCAGAGAAAUUUGUGCUAAUACCGUAUAAUGUCGUAAGACCAAAGAUUUAUCGCCCAAGGAUGAGCCCGCGUAAGAUUAGCUAGUUGGUAGGGUAAAAGCCUACCAAGGCGACGAUCUUUAGCUGGUCUGAGAGGAUGAUCAGCCACACUGGGACUGAGACACGGCCCAGACUCCUACGGGAGGCAGCAGUGGGGAAUAUUGGACAAUGGGCGAAAGCCUGAUCCAGCAAUGCCGCGUGAGUGAUGAAGGCCCUAGGGUUGUAAAGCUCUUUUACCCGGGAUGAUAAUGACAGUACCGGGAGAAUAAGCUCCGGCUAACUCCGUGCCAGCAGCCGCGGUAAGGCACGACUGU